rnacentral:rRNA from 1 species
AGCGAACGUUAGCGGCAGGCCUAACACAUGCAAGUCGCACGAGAAUCCGGCUUCGGCCGGUAGUAAAGUGGCGGACGGGUGAGUAACACGUGGAUAAUCUGCCCUUCGGCGGGGGACGAACAGUCCGAAAGGAUUGCUAAUACCGCAUACGUCAACCGGGUCUUCGGAUCUGGUUGGGAAAGAUGGCCUCUUCAUGAAAGCUAUCACCGAAGGAUGAGUCCGCGUCCCAUCAGCUAGUUGGCGGUGUAACGGACCACCAAGGCUAAGACGGGUAGCUGGUCUGAGAGGAUGAUCAGCCACACUGGAACUGAGACACGGUCCAGACUCCUACGGGAGGCAGCAGUGGGGAAUAUUGGGCAAUGGGCGCAAGCCUGACCCAGCCAUGCCGCGUGAGUGAUGAAGGCCUUC